AAUGGGGGAAACCCUGAUGCAGCCAUGCCGCGUGUGUGAAGAAGGCCUUAGGGUUGUAAAGCACUUUCAGUGGGGAGGAAAGGGUGGAAGCUAAUACCUUUCAUCUGUGACGUUACCCACAGAAGAAGCACCGGCUAACUCCGUGCCAGCGGCCGCGGUAAUACGGAGGGUGCAAGCGUUAAUCGGAAUAACUGGGCGUAAAGCGCACGCAGGCGGUUGGAUAAGUCAGAUGUGAAAGCCCCGGGCUCAACCUGGGAACUGCAUUUGAAACUGUCUGACUAGAGUCUUGUAGAGGGGGGUAGAAUUCCAGGUGUAGCGGUGAAAUGCGUAGAGAUCUGGAGGAAUACCGGUGGCGAAGGCGGCCCCCUGGACAAAGACUGACGCUCAGGUGCGAAAGCGUGGGGAGCAAA
rnacentral:rRNA from 1 species